GGGUCAGUAGGUUGGUCGUGCCACCGGUACGUACUGGUCUCACUUAUUCCUCCUUCCUGAAGAACCGUGAUGCCAUUAAUUUGGUGUUGCGGGGAAACAGGACUGUUACUUUGAAAAAAUUAGAGUGUUUAAAGCAAGCUAACGCUUGAAUACAUUAGCAUGGAAUAAUGAAAUAGGACGAUCGAUCCUAUUUUGUUGGUUUCUAGGAUUGACGUA
rnacentral:rRNA from 1 species